rnacentral:lncRNA from 10 species
AAUGGAUCAACAAUCUACCAAAGCAAGGAAAAAGAAUUAAUUACACAUGGAGAAUCUGCAGUGCCUGAAAACACAUGGAAGGCCUAGACAUAAAUAUUAAGGAAGAAAAUAAUUUUAAAGAAUAAAGUAGGCUGGGUGCAGUGGCUCAUGCCUGUAAUCUCAGCACUCUGGGAGGCCGAGGCGAGCAGAUCACCUGAGGUUGGGAGUUCGAGACCAGCCUGACCAACAUGGAGAAACCCCGUCUCUACUAAAAAUGCCAAAAAAAUUAGCCAGGCAUGGUGGCGCAUGCCUGUAAUCCCAGCUACUCAGGAGGCUGAGGCAGAAGAAUCGCUUGAACCUGGGAGGCAGAGGUUGCAGUGAGCCGAGAUCAUACCAUUGCACCCCAGCCUGGGCAACAAGAGUGAAACUCCGUCUCAAAAAAAAAAAAGAAUAGGGGGAAGGGAUAGCAUUAGGAGAUAUACCUAAUGUAAACGAUGAGUUAAUGGGUGCAGCAUACAAACAUGGCACAUGUAUACAGAUGUAACAAACCUGCACGUUGUGCACAUGUACCCUAGAACUUAAAGUAUAAAAAUAAAAAAAAAGGAUAAAGUAUCCCACUUGACCCAAAGAUAUUCAUUCCACGCAUGGAAAUUAAGCAGAGAGGGUACAAUUAUUAAAUAAUCAAUGUCGCUCCUUUCUUGGACAUAAGCUUAACAAGAAAAGGAUAGGUUAUUAUAUAUAAAGACAUAAAAGAAACAUAAAAGACAACUUGAAUAACCAGAAAGACAUGACCA